UGCCUGAUGGAUGCCAAAGUCGUACCUUCUGCCUCGACUCUAAACCAAUCACCUUCGCGUGCUGUUUGAUGACUCUACAUACCACAGCAUAUCGGUGGCUUGUCCGCUGAUAUUCCGAAAAAGUGUCUGCCCUGUCAACCUGAUGGUAAUCUAUUAGUCGACCAUGCUAUUACGUGUAACGAAGAAUAAGGGUUCGACUACGGUAAGGAGACCUUAUAAAAGGCUACCACAUCCAGGGAAAGCAGCAGGUUGAAACUUAUCCCAUCUUGAAAAGACAAGUUAGUAACUAAAACUAAGAAGACUAUUCCUAUGGAACGGCCAUUCCAAUGAACUGAUUGUGACCCUCUUUUAAGGAUCCAGUGGAGGGCACGUCUGGUGCCAGCAGCAACGUAAUUCCAGCUCCACUAGUGUAAAUCGUCAUGUCAUUGUUGUGGUUAAAAAGCUCGUCGUUGGACUUCAUCAUCAUUUAUUACAUGGUAUAUGCCGUGUGUUAAAACAACAAAACUUAAAAACAACAGAAAACACGAAACAAACUAAAUUAGGGAACAAUAACAAGGACUAUUAUGAAAAAGAAGCAAGGAACUAAAAUAAACAAAACAUUGUAGGAGAGAAAUGAGACAUUCUGCAGAGGCAAAAUUCGGGAUCCGGAACGACAUACUGGCACGCCGACGCCAGCGGAAGCUGGACAGUCAACGGCGGAGAGCCUUCCUAGCGGAAAUUUUGAAGACAGACAGCUUUUCCGGCAAAACAGCGGUUUUGAUCAAGC
rnacentral:ncRNA from 1 species